rnacentral:rRNA from 1 species
ACAGUCACUGACAUUAGAUACCCCCGGUAGUCCAGGGUGUAAACGCUGCAGACUUGGUGUUGGAGGCCCUUUGGGGGCAUUCAGUGCCGGAGAGAAGUUGUUAAGUCUGCUACUUGGGAGUACGUCCGCAAGGAUGAAACUUAAAGGAAUUGGCGGGGGAGCACCGCAACGGGAGGAGCGUGCGGUUUAAUUGGAUUCAACACCGUAAAACUCACCAGGGAAGACUGUUACAUGAAGGCCGAGAUGAAGACUCUGCUAGAUUUUCAG